ensembl:lncRNA
CUCCGUUCUACUCUCUCCAUUCGUCCCACCCUCUCCACCAUCCCCGUCCCCAUGUCCAUAAGUCUGUUCUCUGGGUCUGCAUCUCCACGGCUGCCCUGCAAGUAGGUUCUCAGUACCAUCUUUCUAGAUUCCGUAUACAUGCAUUAAUAUACGAUAUUUCUAUUUUUGACUUACUUCACUCUGUAUAAUAGGCUCUAGGUUCAUCCAUCUCAUGAGCACUGACUCAAAUGUGUUCCUUUUUAUGACUGAGUAAUAUUCCAUCGUGUCUAUGUACCACAGCUGCUUUAUCCAUUCAUCUGUCAGUGGACAUCUAGGUUGCUUCUGUGCCCUAGCUAUUGUAAAUAGUGCUGCAGUAAACAUUGGGGUACAUGUAACUUUUUUCAGUUGUGACUUUCUCAGGGUAUAUGCCUAUGUGGGAUUGUUGGGUCAUAUGGUAGUUUUAUUCCUAGUUUUAAAAGGCAUCUCCAUACUGUCUUCCACAGUGGCUGUAUCAAUUUACAUUCCUACCAACAGUGCAAGAAGGCUCCCUUUUCUCCACACCCUCUCCAGCAUUUAUCAUUUGUAGAUUCUUUGAUGAUGCCCAUUCUGUAAGCUCAUUAGGUUUUAGGUAUGUUGGCACUCAAGAAUGAGAGAAGAACUUUCCAGUUAUAAGCACCCAAGGACCAGAAGAGGAAGGAACACAUUUCAAAUGGAAUCUACCCAGUUGGAGACCGAAGAAGACUGUCCAAAUCUGUGUACUCAUCUUGGAAAGAUCCUGGACCAUUGACCUGCUGACCUUUGACCCCAUGUCUAUGAUGCCAGUAUUGAGCAAAGUGCUGAGGACAGAUGGAAGUGGGAAAUCAGGGUGACUUCUCCAAAGGCGUCAUCUCCUCUUCCUAAUCUGUUCCCUCUCAGCAUUUAUGAGAAAGCGACGUGGAAGUGAGGCUCAGUGUUUUGAAAUGCUGGGUUCUCUCUUUGUCCUAAAUACUUUCAAAUAAAGCCAGCCACAGAAGCCACUUCGCAGAGCUAGAAUUUGAAAACCAGGAGCCAGUGAGGGGAAAGAAGUGACGACAGGCAGAGAGAGCACUAAACCCUCACGGGCGCAGCAACCGCUCCAGCUGUCCACCAGGCCCUGCCAGCGACUUACUGGGACAGUCCAACAGGGGUUUGGUCUGUCCAGCAGGAGGACGGCCUUCACUUAAGAAAAGCCAGUUAUGAGAAAUCCGAACUCAGGGAACCAGAAUGAGGACAAAGGGAUUCACAUUACAUACAAAUGGACUCUUUGCGAAUGACUUCUGAUGACACGCACGUGCUUUGUGAAAAGAUGCACCCCUGGGUGUAGGGAUGUAGGGUAAGCUCUGAGCUAGUCCCUUAAGAAGGAACCACCUGGACUUCCCUGCUGCGCUUCCACGGCAGGGGUCAUGGGUUCGAUCCCUGGUCAGGGGCUAAGGUCCUGCAUCCCCCGCAGCACAGCCAAAACAAACAAACAGAAAGAGACCAGCCCCUAGGAGACUCCAAGGGAUGUGUUAGCUUCGAGCUUUGCCCAGGUGGUCCAUCCUCCCAAAAUGCAGGACAUUUUCCCAGGGAAGAAAUUUCGCAGUUUCCACCAUCCAUAAGGAUUUUAGUCUCUCUCCAGGAAGUCAGCAGAAACCCCAGAGAAAAUUCCCAGCUGAUCCCUUGAAUCCUUCCUUCUCUUCCCGGUUCCUCAGUGCUCCUAGUGCCGGGAGAGGUUAAGGGGCCAGUCCCCUCCCACUCACCUCCUGGUUAGAAAAAAAGAAGACGGUCCUUAUAGGGUCAAAGAUCUUUGCACCCCAAGAGCAAAACAAAAUUUUUGAAACAGUAGUUUUUCUUCAGAAAUUUUAUCCACGAGGGAUAAAGAACAACCUCGCUUUAUGAGCUCAGGAGGUAUAAAUGUAGUCAGUGUCCUAGAAACUUAG